UCAAAAAAAAAAAAUUGCAUAAGCUGGGAUUCCAAGGUUAACAAAUGAAGCUGCAUUCAAAUUCUAGGUCUGUAUCUCUUGGAGAAGUUUCUUAACUUCUCUGAACCCGUUUUAUUAUGAAGAUAUUAACAGUGCUUGUCUCAUGUGGUUGGUGCAAGGUUUAAAUGAAAUAGCACUUGUAAUGCCCUUGGUACAGUGUCUUCACACUCAGUAAGAGUGAACUCUUUUUAUUACUAACUAUAGCACUAAUCAGUAAACAUGUUCUAAUUGGGCCUUAAUGUUGUCUACUUUUUUUUAGUCAGCUUCUAGAGAUGUGUCUCCUUUCGUGUGAGUAUUGCUCCUUAAUCCAAUCGGAUAUCCACUCUUAAAGAAGCAUCAAUGCUGAUUUUUGUUCAAUUUUUUCAAUAGUGUGAGUAUGCAGAAGAAUAAGUGGGAUGCCACAAGAUCCUUGAGAUUCAACCAGGAUGCACAAAGAGAAGAUGAUCAACGGCGAAUGUCUGAAAUUACAGGGCACCUAAUAAAAAUGAGAU
rnacentral:sRNA from 1 species